UGAGGUCAUGACCUGAGCCCAAACUGAGAGUCAGAUGCUUAACCAACUGAGCCACCCGGGCGCCCCCUAAUUAUCUUUAUUUUUGAGCACCCACUUUAUGUAGGCCACAUGCCAAACAUUUUACAACUGUUGGCUCACUCAAUUCUUUCAGCAGCAAUUUGAGACAGACCCCGUACUUCUCACUUGACAGUCAGGGACAUUCGGCUGGGCCUGCCACAUAAGGUUGUGAAGGUUGCGCGUUGCACGACUCUUGGAGGCUUUUUUCCACAUCAUAAUCUUGUAGGAGUAACAGAACUACAAAGUCAGCAAUCUUUCUGGGACGCUGCCGUCCCUUGGCACCUAAAUGGACACCCACCCCCAGUCACUAACGUGUCAUCCCAUGAGUCUGAGUACAGGAUGCCCCUUUUCCAAACCCUGGCCUUGUUUUCUCCGAGCGGAGGGAGGGGACGAGAGAAGAAAGGGACUAGAACGUGCCGGUUCCGUGACGUGGUAGAAACUGAGUCUCUGAGACAUGGCAAGAGCUGUGGGUGGGGACAUCGAGUCCUGGAGAGACCCACAGAAUCUGAGGCUUAAAGGUCCUCUGAUGAUAAUGAUAAACAGCAGCACUGACUGGUCACCUCCUCUGAGCUAAGGCCACAUGAUGCCCCAGUUUCCACAACUCAACAACAGCACCAACCUCACGGCGUUGCUGGAGAGAUUGAAGACACCCGAAGGACCUAGAAUCAUGCCUGCUGUGAAGAAAGUGCUCAAUAAAUGGUACUUACCAUUAUUCAGAAUAACCCCCACAGAGCGCUGUGAGGACGGAGCCCUUUCUUCCUCCGGGCCCGUCCCAUCUGAGGUCAUACACACAGGCUGCUUUCUGUCCCCUCAGAUAGUCCCAGACGGGUUGGCUCGGAGUGUGAUUUUAAUUAAAGCCAGUGCUACCAAGGGUCAGGCUGUCCAAGAGGGUAUCCAGGAAGGCCUCCUGGGAACUUCUUAACUGUGAGCAUGAUCUCCCCUUUCCGAGGCUGGUUCUCCUCCAUAAACGAGCAAAGCCAACGACAGCCGCCUAGCGCACGGGAGGUAAGACGUUGGUUGCUCGCUUCCCCGGAAUCCAUUCCUCCUUCGAUUUCUGUUUCGGGAAACUUAGUUUUCUGAUCAUUGUAAUCUGGGGGGCAAACUUCCAACGAUUUCACCGGAGCCCUUCGACCCGGCCCCAUCUGAAGCUCCAGCUUGGGCUUUCCAGUCCGGCAAACCCCUUUUUUACACAAGCAACCAAAGGAGUCAACUGAUAUAAACGCAGUGCCUCCAAGGGGUGUGGAUGAGACCUCCCUCACGCGGGCAGCCUAUGAAGGACGGGGUCUUGUCUUCCUCGGGCCUCAUUCGGUUUGUGCUGCACACUUGGGCAGGCCUGGUUCCGUGGAUCUGGGGCUCGGAUGCGGUCCAAACUCUUUUGCUUCAGAGAGUUUUUGUUCUGAUGGCAUCUGUAAGUAAGGCCUUUUGCAAACCUCCCUGUGAAGAGUCUCACAUUCUGCUCCAUGGGAAUCUAGGGACCAUCCCCAGAGACGCCAUUCCUGUUCCCAAUGAUCUGGGCUCCGAGCCCCAAUUUUUACCAUCAGAUGCUGUCUUCGGAGGGCUAACGAGUGGGUCCUAUGGGGGCAGAGAGAUCCCACCUGUGCUGGGUAGGCGGGUUCACCUUCAUCCCAUCGUAACCCCUGCCGAGGGGUGUUCCGUGGUCCCCGAUGGGCCUGACAUCAGGAGCCGCAGAUGGUUCUCCAAAUUUGCAGCCCUCUCCAAAUGGAAGGUUAAACUGGGAGGGGGAGGGGAGGUGACGCCGCAGGGUAAGGGAGAGCUGUGGUGUCAGUCAGACUUCCCAGUGGAAGCAGGGCUGGGGCAGCCAGGGGAAAUGGGCAAGACUGGGAGAUGCAGAGGGGCAUCUGCAGGGCACGGAGUAAGGACAUGGAUGGGAUUGGGAGAGAUGGGGCGAGGAGAGGCUCUAGGUCACAGGAUUCUAUAAGGCUCACCUCCCAUUUCUCGUUCAUUGCUCCUAAUCUGCAGGUUUAGGUCCCACUCCCUCCCCUGGACAGUUGUUCUAGACUCCUCACUGGUCCCCCUGCUUCCUGUCUGGAUCUUCCAAUCCACCCCCUCCCAUCAGCCAUCCAUUUUUCCGUCCAUCCGUCCAUCCAUCCAUGCAUUCACUCAGCAAAUAUUCCUGGAGGGGCAGGGCUCGUUAUGUAGGACCCUCUGGUCCGCUCCCUCUACCUGGCCGAACGUGCCUCCCUUCCCUGACUUUCUGGCAAGAUAGCCACCCCCCACCCCCAACUUCCCCAGGUCACCUGUCAUCACAACACUUACCACAAGACAUUAGAUGUCUUGACUUGCCCACUGGACUGUAAGCUCCUUAGGGGCAGGAACUUGGACUCCAGGGACCCAGAGCUGAGUUGGGUGAAAGGAAGGAAUUCUUAUAAGGGGCAAGGGUAGGAUCCUGCGGUCCUAUUGGGGUCGGGUGAGAGUCCCAGCUGUAGCGAUCUCCAGGCAUGUGACUCUGGGCAAGGCCUUCAGUUCACUGAGCCUUGGUUUCAAUAGUGUCACCCUCAGGGUUGCCACGAGGAUGAAAUGAGGGAAGCCACCUGACGUGUAAGGAGGUGCCUGAUGGGUAGGCAGUGAUCUGUCAGCGGGAGCCGCCGGAGGCAGUCUUUGCUGUCAGAUAAUGGUGGGCGGGUGGCAUGGAUGCUGGGGGCUCUGCCUGGAUCCCAGUCAGCCGCCCACUCCCCCGAUGGCUCCCAGCUGGGAACUGCCCUUAGCUGCAGGGAAUUGCCUGCCCAAAGACACAGCCUUCCCCGGGGAGGUCCCUGGCUGGUGUGCAAUACAAAUCCUCGACUCCUCCUGCGGGAUCUCCUGCCGGAUCUCCUGGAUCCCUCCUGCGGGAUCUCCUGCUGAGAUUUCACACACAGAUCCACUGUGUGUCAUCCCAGUCUUGUCUUCCCCAUUUCCUUCCUCCCUUCCUCCCGAAUGAACCACUGAACAUAGAUCUCCAUCUCAAGAACCAAUGGAAGAUAACAGGCAUUCAGGGCAAAAUAUCUACACAGGGAAAGAUGGUGCAGGGACCUGGGGAGUGGGGGUGGUGGUGGUGGGAGAUGGAAAGAAAGGAAGGCCAGAAGAGGAGGGUGGGGGCACUGGCCUGGGCAAAGCUUGGCCGCCCAGUCCUGGGUCUCUGGAACAUUCCAACUUUCUUCCUGCCCUUGUCUUCCGGCCCUCCCUAGUUCUGUGGCGACUGGUCAUAGUGAUUGGGGGUGCUGGCUUUGGGGCCCUCCUUGAGUUUGAGUCCCAACUCUGUUUCUUGGAUCAGUCCCUUCACUUCCUGAGUCUCAAUGGUGCCAAACUGUAUAACGGGGCUGGGAAGAAUCAACGAGGGAUCCCGCGGAGCUCUUAGCGCAGUGGCUGAGUCUCGGGGGCGGGGGGUGCCCCCUAAAUGCUUCUUGCUAUGCAACCCCUCCCGAGGGAUGAAGAAGGCAGUCUACAAAUCAACCUGCAUGGGCAGGGCCACCACUUCCAAAACCUCACCCCAAAGCAUUCUUCUCUGCAACCUCUGUAACUGACCCAGCUCCCCAAGACCUUCCAGAAAUCAUAGGAGGUUUGUCUGCUUGGAAACUUUUAUUCCAUGCCCUUUUGUUUCAUGAUGGCUGAUGGAACGUCAAAGGAGGAUGGGUCGCCCGAACGGAGGUGUGACUGAGCGCCAGGCAGGAGCGUAAGAGCUCUGCAGGCUUUGAACUUUCGCAGGAACCCUGUGUCAUGGGUACUAUUUAAACGAUACACUGAGGCGCCGAGCGGAGUCACGUGCCCUGACCACACAGCAAGCGGAGUAAGGCUGCGCGCAGUCAUGGCCAAGACGCAAGACGGACCGGACUCGAGCAGGGUCCAGUUGGGACUCCGCCAUCUACCAGCCGUGUGUUCUUGGAGCGAAGGUGCUAUCACAGGUCACAGCUUCGGAAAAUUACAUUGAGAGUGAAAAGGCCCCCUGACCUCCAAGGAGAGGAUUCUUAGAGGAGAAGCAGCUGUGAUUCCCCAAGAGAGGGGGGCCGCCAUGGUAGGCAACUCAAGACCACUGCCUGGGCCAGCCAAGACCCUCUCAUCCCCCCUCAGCCUCCACCCGGCCUCGGAACUCCUGCUCCCUUGUAGAAACCUGUGCACUCACACAGUCCUUCCUUCAUCCAUUCGUUCAUGUACCAGCUCUUUAUUGAGCCUCUACUAAUCCACCAGGCAACGGUGCUAGGCACUGGCCAUAUGGAAGUGAACAAGAAAACCUCCCUCCCGCCAUGGAGCUCCCAUUCCAGAAAGACACGAGAGAUGAGUAAGUCGAUGUAAAGUCAUCACCAGGCAGUCAGACGAGGACAACUAAAACAGAGAUCGUAGGUAACAAGUGACGGGUGGGCACGAGUCUCUCUGAGGAGGUGAUGUCUGAGCAGACACCUGCAGGCAGGGAGGGGCGAGCUGUGGGGACAGUGGGCACUCCUGCCAUAGCAGAGACAGCCUGGCCUUGUGCCUCCACCCCUGUUUUCCACCUCUGGUCUUUUGCCAGGACUUCCUGGAAUGCCUUUCUCUCUGCCUGUAUUUCCUUUAAUAUGUGAUUUGCUAUUUUAUUAAGUGAGUCAAAUACAUUUAUAAAAGCAGAACACAGAGCUGUCUGGGUUAUAGCACAAGCUGGCCAGUGAGAAUCAGGAAACCCACAUUCUCGACACGCUUCUGCUCAAUAUAAUGGUGCCCUAACCAUUUAAAACUCUCGAGAAAUGGUAUUUUUUUUUAAGAUGGCAGACAAAAGGCAUCUCUACUCCCCUUCUCUCGUUAAAACAAUUUUCCCUAAAACAGGAAACAGAAACAAAAACUCGGUCUUUGAGAAACCUGGGAGAUAGUAUAACCCUGAACCACAGUUUACAGAGAAGGGAAGUGGAUAAGGAAAUGGCCAGUGGCUUAGCAGAGAGGAAGAGAGUCAGACCUAAGUGCCUGGGUAGACGGUUGCUAUGGGGAUGGAGAGCUGCAAAAAAGAACGAGUCGAUUUGCCUGAAAGGCUCAAAAAUUGCAGAUACCAGCUAUCACAGAAGGUGCUAGUGAGUGGGGAUUGGAGUGGGGGCGGGGAGGGGCUUGGGCUGGAAGUCCAUACUGGGAGCAAUGAACCCUCAGGUCCCUGACUCCUCUUCAGCCCGGUCUGCAAAUAGCCCCUGUCAUAUCCAGGGUGGGCCACUUCCGAGACAAAGACCUACAGAUAAGAUGAUUUGAGAGAAGGGAGAAUGCUCCACAGAGUGAGCCCAAUAGCCUCUUGCUCACCCACUCCAGAUGGAAGCCCACCAGUCCACCACCCCCACCCACAGCUUUCCAAUCAGAGUGUUAAUAUGAGUGAGCAGCCAGGGAUCACUCCGCAUGUAAAGAAAUUUCCGACAUGAAAGAGACCAAAGCAAACCAUGGGGGCAGUGGGGGGGGGGGGGGGAGGGACUUAGAGACA